rnacentral:tRNA from 1 species
UUGACUAUAGCAUAAAUUAAUGUUUUAUUUUUACAAAAUAAAGAUAUCUCUCCAGAUUAGUUAAU